rnacentral:rRNA from 1 species
UACGUAGGGCGCAAGCGUUGUCCGGAAUUAUUGGGCGUAAAGAGCUCGUAGGCGGCUUGUUGCGUCUGCUGUGAAAUCCCGGGGCUUAACCCCGGGCGUGCAGUGGAUACGGGCAGGCUAGAGACAGGCAGGGGAGAACGGAAUUCCUGGUGUAGCGGUGAAAUGCGCAGAUAUCAGGAGGAACACCGGUGGCGAAGGCGGUUCUCUGGGCCUGAUCUGACGCUGAGGAGCGAAAGCGUGGGGAGCGAACAGG